UACAGAGGGUGCAAGCGUUGUUCGGAAUUAUUGGGCGUAAAGGGCGCGUAGGCGGUGCGGUAAGUCUUUUGUGAAAUCUCCGGGCUCAACUCGGAGUCUGCAGGAGAAACUGCCGUGCUUGAGUGUGGGAGAGGUGAGUGGAAUUCCGAGUGUAGAGGUGAAAUGCGUAGAUAUCAGGAGGAACACCUGUGGCGAAAGCGGCUCACUGGACCAUAACUGACGCUGAGGCACGAAAGCUAGGGGAGCAAACAGG
rnacentral:rRNA from 1 species